rnacentral:tRNA from 1 species
GCAGUGGUGGUUCAGUGGUAGAAUCCUCGCCUUCCAUGUGGGAGACCCAGGUUCAACUCCCGGCCAAUGAC